GUGAGGAAUAUUGGACAAUGGGCGCAAGCCUGAUCCAGCCAUGCCGCGUGCAGGAAGACGCAUCUAUGGUGUGUAAACUGCUUUUGUACGGGAAGAAACACUCCAUCGUGAGGGAGCUUGACGGUACCGUAAGAAUAAGGAUCGGCUAACUCCGUGCCAGCAGCCGCGGUAAUACGGAGGAUCCAAGCGUUAUCCGGAAUCAUUGGGUUUAAAGGGUCCGUAGGCGGUUUAAUAAGUCAGUGGUGAAAGCCCAUCGCUCAACGAUGGAACGGCCAUUGAUACUGUUAGACUUGAAUUACAAGGAAGUAACUAGAAUAUGUAGUGUAGCGGUGAAAUGCUUAGAUAUUACAUGGAAUACCAAUUGCGAAGGCAGGUUACUACUUGUGGAUUGACGCUGAUGGACGAAAGCGUGGGGAGCGAACAGGAUUAGAUACCCGGGUAGUCC
rnacentral:rRNA from 1 species